CCAACGGCUCUUUUCAGAGCCACUUAACUUGUCACAGGAAGCGGCUG
rfam:Felis catus isolate Cinnamon breed Abyssinian chromosome C1, whole genome shotgun sequence.